rnacentral:rRNA from 1 species
UUAAGUAGACCGCCUGGGGAGUACGGCCGCAAGGUUAAAACUCAAAUGAAUUGACGGGGGCCCGCACAAGCGGUGGAGCAUGUGGUUUAAUUCGAUGCAACGCGAAGAACCUUACCUGGUCUUGACAUCCACGGAAGGUCUCAGAGAUGAGACUGUGCCUUCGGGAGCCGUGAGACAGGUGCUGCAUGGCUGUCGUCAGCUCGUGUUGUGAAAUGUUGGGUUAAGUCCCGCAACGAGCGCAACCCUUAUCCUUUGUUGCCAGCGGUCCGGCCGGGAACUCAAAGGAGACUGCCAGUGAUAAACUGGAGGAAGGUGGGGAUGACGUCAAGUCAUCAUGGCCCUUACGACCAGGGCUACACACGUGCUACAAUGGCGCAUACAAAGAGAAGCGACCUCGCGAGAGCAAGCGGACCUCAUAAAGUGCGUCGUAGUCCGGAUUGGAGUCUGCAACUCGACUCCAUGAAGUCGGAAUCGCUAGUAAUCGUGGAUCAGAAUGCCACGGUGAAUACGUUCCCGGGCCUUGUACACACCGCCCGUCACACCAUGGGAGUGGGUUGCAAAAGAAGUAGGUAGCUUAACCUUCGGGAGGGCGCUUACCACUUUGUGAUUCAUGACUGGGGUGAAGUCGUAACAAGGUAACCGUAGGGGAACCUGC